rnacentral:misc_RNA from 1 species
AAAAAUCAGAAAUUUAUAAAUUAGCUGUCAGGCAAGAAAUGUUUUAACAGUGCAAUAUGGCAAUUCAUGUUUGACUAUUCUAUACAUGGAUCACUCUCGGUGACUCCCCCGUUUCCAAAUUCUCAGUUUCUCCCACGUUAGCAAUUAAUAGCAUGAGCCAUUAAGGAAAAUUAACAAAUUUGAUACUAAACAAAUGGAUGAAGGUUACAUUACAUAUCAAUUCUCACUUUCCAUUCAGUUGGAAUUAAGGUUAAAUAGGUAUCGGUAACCAUGUAAAUUUAAAAUGUGUAACAAAUGUAUACAUGGGUCAUUAUUCAUUAACUUUUUCCCAUAUUGUAUUUUCUAUCUUAUGGGCAAGACCCACAAUAUGUGGGAAUAUUAAUGCACAGACCAGAUUAAAAAGCAUCAUCUAAAAGAGUGACGAUUUCACAAGUUUGAGUUAAGAAAUAGAACUAGAACCUCAUUUCAACUUCAGCAACAAUCUGACCAUCAUUGUUCGAACUUCUAGGUUGAAACUUCUCAUCCUCAUCAGGAUCAGACACAUAAUCUUCACCAUUCCAUAUGCAACAUUUAGGUCUUCUAUCAAUGUCCUCUUCAGCCUCUUCUGGGACUUCAGUAGUGGAUGGUGUUGUCUGAAAAGGAACACUGGGAGCAUUAGGCAGUUUAGAGAGUUGCUCUAAAAGUAUGUUCCUGAAACAGCAUGUCAGUCAAUGUCAAACACAAGGGUACAAGCCAAAGAUAGUUACAAUAAGAAUUAUUUAAAAUGAAAAAUAGGCUAAUAUAUAACAUAUAACAAAUUUCUAACAGACAUUAUCUAUGCCCACUUUUUGGUGUACACUUCUAUACAUGAGAGAGAGUUUUACUAUGUUCAUUGGAUUCACUUUUUAAUAUUAUGGCUGAAGUUUUCAAGGAAAUGUCUGCAAGCAGUCCGGCGCGUGAACAGAUGUAUGUACUGGGAAAAAAAAAUGUUUCCCCAUGUAGCAGGCAGCAGGAGAAAUCCCCAAAUAGUGCCCAUCAAGAUAGAUAAAUUAGCCAUCCAACCAACAAUUAUAACUCUAGCUCCUCAUGUCCUCAAACAGGCAACCACAUAUCAGCUCAAGAAAAUAUUAAGCCCAAGUGGCAGCAUUUAUCAAACAGAUCUAUUUGAUUAGAUUAGCCACCAAGUAAUAAUGGAAAAAGCAUUGGUAAUGUAUUGAUAUUUUGAUAUUUUCAACUAGGAAAAGAAAUAAUAUAUCACUGACUGCAAAUUCAAAUGGCAAACAGUUCUAGUCUCACAUUGUGGAAUGAGAAUGAAAAGCUUCAUAGGAUGAACACCUUCAUAAGUAUCAUUGCUGCACAAAGAGCAUAUGCAAGGUAAGCUGCAUGUGCCAUGCUUCAAAUGUCAAAGAAAUAGGAUCCCGGUCCAUUUCAACAUAGUAAUUCUGACUGUAAUCUUUAGAUUUGGCUCUAAUAGGAGCAAAAGGCAGAAUAAAUUAUAGAGUUGUUUGUCAUUUUGAGCCAUGGCCAUUCACCAACAUGAUAUUAUUUCAGCGUUAAACAAAGAAGCAUCUCACUAAAUUGAGUUAUAACAAAACUGUUUACCACAAUUCAUAAAGCAUAUUCAAGAUAAAAUAUUUUUUCAAAGUUCUACCUGUCACUACUCAAAAGUUUUAAUUUAAAAUUUGAAAUGCAAAUAUAAAAAUAAAUUACUAGAGCUACCAAUAAUGUUGACUCUAAGUAUAAGCAAGUAAUAUAGCAACCCAAAUCACCUUAUUCUCUCCAUGUCUUUAGGUGAGUUUAAGUUCUCCAUGUUGGAAGGUUCAAAGUGAAGUGUGUAAUCUGGGCCAAAGUACUCAUAAUAUUCAUUGUAAGGCAAUUUAUUAUCAGGUUCCACCCCCACUGCAACUGCUGUCUGUGAAAAAGCAACAAAGGCACUCAUCACUUGAAAGAGUUAAAGAAUUGACAAGAGAGAGAGAACAGGAGGAGGAAGAGAAUGACAAGCCUCAUAGCACCAGCAACGGGCAACAUUCCGAAUAGUAUAUCCGCCACCACCCAAGACCAUCAAAGGGACAUUAAAAGAUCUAAGAAAAUGAAGGCAAUCAGCAUGACCCUUCACAGACAAGUUGAAGCACCCCAACCUAUCACCAGAUAAUGAAUCUGCUCCACAUUGGAGAACAACCGCAUCAGGCUGAUAUAUCUCCAUGACUUUCUGGAUGAUGGGACGAAACAGACUGCGGAAACUUUCAUCAUUCAUCCCAUCAUUUAAUGGGAUAUUCAGAGCAUAGUUCUUCCCUUGCCCAGUACCAGUGUCCUUUAUAUGCCCUGUUCCUGGAAAGAAAUCUCCAAAUUUAUGAAAGGACACUGUCAUGACCCUGUCAGUAGUAUAAAAUGCCUCCUCAACACCAUCUCCAUGGUGGACAUCAAUAUCAACAUACAGGACACGCCUGUGAACCUUAAGCAACUCGAGAAUCCCCAGCACAAUAUCAUUAACAUAACAAAAUCCGGACGCCUCACUCUUCUUAGCAUGAUGCAAGCCACCAGCCCAGUUCAACGCGAUAUCGGCAUCACCCCGAUUGAGCUUGACAGCAGCCCCAAUCGAGCCACCGGCAGAUGCCUGACAAAACUCAAAAAGCUCAUAGAAAACAGGGCAAUCCUCCCCAACGUUAAACCUCUUGAGAUGUCUAUUAUGCGAGGGGUCAGCCAGAGACUCUGGAGACACGGAAGAAAGGAACUUCACGUAGUCAUCCGAAUGGAACUUGAGGAUGUCAGCGGGAGCCGCGGGGAAGGGCCGGUUUAUCUCCAUCCUACGGUGGAGGGAGUAGUGCACGAUCAAAUUAUGCGCCAUGCGAAUUCGGUGGGGCUUCAUUGCGUGUCCCUGGCCAUAGUAGUAGUUGCCAAUCGUGGGCUCGUAGAAGUAGGUUACACGACGCUUCUUGGCGUCGGUGCCGGUGGACAGGAGAGAAGCACCACCAGUUGUGUCACCCAUUUGCAAAACCCUAUUUGAAGAGAAGCUGAAGUUUGUGUGUGAUUUCCUCUUUCCAGAAGGGGAAA